AGCCAAGGCUCUUUCAAUUCUUUCUGGCCCUCCCCUUUGCCUGCCUUCGACGCCAAGGAGAAUGGUCCAGCAGCAUCUCAGCCCAUGAUUGUCAAGCGCCCACUUCCGUACAGUCCAUACACCCCAAGGUUCCUUGUGGGAUUCCUCAGCAACACCAAUGCACUGACCGUCACUCUGUGUUCUCCUAGAUUCUGAUGAAGAUCUGCAGGCGUCUGCACAUGGCGGUGUGGAGGAUAUGAAAUCAGAACGUAGCAAUUCGAAAGCCCAGUCUCAACUCUAUUCUGAUGAAGAUCUGCAGGCGUCUGCACAUGGCGGUGUGGAGGAGAAUAUGGGAUCAGAACUUGAUUUAUCUAGAGCUGAGUAUGAAGACCGUACGUAUUCAUAAAAAAAAAAAAAA